rnacentral:misc_RNA from 1 species
AUUACAGGUGUUUUCCGUUGGAUCUGGGAUGCGUGCACUGAUAUUGUAUCUAAUCUGCUUUGUCUUUAUGUAUGUGAUAGUUUUGGACUGUGAGUGUGUGGUUCAAUUAUUGUGUUAGAGGGAUCUUAAGGGUAUAAGAGCUAGCCGACCGCCUGUGGACUGUGGUUGCUCCUCCGACUAUAAGCGAUUGAGAAGCCAUCUGGGCUUUGUUUCUUCCUCUUUGUCUUUUCCCCACGAGUCUCUAUGGUUCUUGGCUUUCAUGGUUUCAAGCUUCUUGAUGUUCUAGUUAGAGUUUAGCUGUUGCUGCUCGAAUCUUAAGGUGCUACUGAGCUAGGGACCUUCUGGAUUAGGAGAUUCAGGUUCAGUCAUGCAUGGCCCCUGGUGGUGUGCUUCAAUACGCCUUUGUAAAAGACUUCCAACGAAGCUGCGGCAUCGCUCCUUGUUUAUGCAAGUUCUUGGGUUUGAGCGCAAAACUUGCCUCAGUUAGGAUUUCUUCCAGUGGGUUUGGGCCUUAUUGUGGAUUGGGG